rnacentral:rRNA from 1 species
UACAGAGGUCUCAAGCGUUGUUCGGAUUCAUUGGGCGUAAAGGGUGCGUAGGCGGCGCGGUAAGACGGGUGUGAAAUCUCGGAGCUUAACUCCGAAACUGCAUUCGAUACUGCCGUGCUUGAGGACUGGAGAGGAGACUGGAAUUUACGGUGUAGCGGUGAAAUGCGUAGAUAUCGUAAGGAAGACCAGUGGCGAAGGCGGGUCUCUGGACAGUACCUGACGCUGAGGCACGAAGGUCAGGGGAGCAAACGGG